rnacentral:rRNA from 1 species
CAAUAGCGUAUAUUAAAGUUGUUGCAGUCAAAAAGCUCGUAGUUGGAUUUGUGGUUCGUCCCGCCGGCUGGGUCAUUGACUUUUGCUGUGCUGGUCGUCCAUCCUUGGGUGGAAUCUGUGUGGCAUUAGGUUGUCGCGCAGGGGAUGCCCAUCGUUUACUGUGAAAAAAUUAGAGUGUUCAAAGCAGGCUUAUGCCGUUGAAUAUAUUAGCAUGGAAUAAUGAUAUAGGACCUUGGUACUAUUUUGUUGGUUUGCGCACUGAGGUAAUGAUUAAUAGGGACAGUUGGGGGUAUUCGUAUUCCAUUGUAAGAGGUGAAAUUCUUGGAUUUUUGGAAGACGAACUACUGCGAAAGCAUUUACCAAGGAUGUUUUCAUUAA